rnacentral:tRNA from 1 species
GGGCCCAUAGCUCAACUGGUCAGAGCCCCCGGCUCAUAACCGGGUCGUUGCUGGUUCGAAUCCAGCUGGGCCUACCA